GGCCCGUAGCUCAGCCCGGUAGAGCGCCCGGCUCAUAACCGGGUGGUCGGGGGUUCGAAUCCCCCCGGGCCCAC
rnacentral:tRNA from 1 species